rnacentral:SRP_RNA from 13 species
CGGGUGCGGUGAUGCAUGCCUGUAGUCCCAGCUACUCAGGAGCCUGAGGUGGGAGGAUCGCUUGAGCCCAGGAGUCCUGUGCUGUACUGCGCUGUGCCUAUUGGGUGUCCACACUAAGUUUGGCAUCAAUAUGGUGACCUCGUGGGAGCGGGGGGGCCAACAAGUUGCCUAAGGAGGGAUGAACCAGCCCAGGUCAGAAACGGGGCAGGACAAAACUCCCAUGCUGAUCAGUAGUGGGAUCGUGCCUGUGAAUAGCCACUGCAUGCCAGGCUGGGCAACAGAGUGACACCUCGUCUCUA